rnacentral:rRNA from 1 species
GACGAACGCUGGCGGCGUGCCUAAUACAUGCAAGUCGAGCGGACUUUUAAAAGCUUGCUUUUGAAAGUUAGCGGCGGACGGGUGAGUAACACGUGGGCAACCUGCCUGUAAGACUGGGAUAACUUCGGGAAACCGGAGCUAAUACCGGAUAAUUCUUUUCUUCUCAUGAAGGGAAGCUGAAAGAUGGCUUUGGCUAUCACUUACAGAUGGGCCCGCGGCGCAUUAGCUAGUUGGUGAGGUAACGGCUCACCAAGGCGACGAUGCGUAGCCGACCUGAGAGGGUGAUCGGCCACACUGGGACUGAGACACGGCCCAGACUCCUACGGGGGGCAGCAGUAGGGAAUCUUCCGCAAUGGACGAAAGUCUGACGGAGCAACGCCGCGUGAGUGAUGAAGGUUUUCGGAUCGUAAAACUCUGUUGUUAGGGAAGAACAAGUAUCGUUCGAAUAGGGCGGUACCUUGACGGUACCUAACCAGAAAGCCACGGCUAACUACGUGCCAGCAGCCGCGGUAAUACGUAGGUGGCAAGCGUUGUCCGGAAUUAUUGGGCGUAAAGCGCGCGCAGGCGGUUUCUUAAGUCUGAUGUGAAAGCCCACGGCUCAACCGUGGAGGGUCAUUGGAAACUGGGGAACUUGAGUGCAGAAGAGAAGAGCGGAAUUCCACGUGUAGCGGUGAAAUGCGUAGAGAUGUGGAGGAACACCAGUGGCGAAGGCGGCUCUUUGGUCUGUAACUGACGCUGAGGCGCGAAAGCGUGGGGAGCAAACAGGAUUAGAUACCCUGGUAGUCCACGCCGUAAACGAUGAGUGCUAAGUGUUAGAGGGUUUCCGCCCUUUAGUGCUGCAGCAAACGCAUUAAGCACUCCGCCUGGGGAGUACGGCCGCAAGGCUG